rnacentral:sRNA from 1 species
AUAUGCCGUAUACAAAGGAAAUCUAGAGGGCACCCAUGCAUAGUUCAUGUCUUCCUGAGCUCUCCUGAAGGCAUGGAUGUCCUUCAUCUCCAUUGAAGUCAUUGUCUGCAUUUAAUUUCAUUUGGUUAAAAGAGGUUUGUUGUUCGGAUGAAGUAUACUCCAGGUCUGGAUCCGUCCGGAGAACCACUGAAGUAAAAUGCGGCAGGACCACUGGCCAUCGAAGGAGGGGUCUGUUCAAUUCUCAAGAAGACAGAAAUGGAGUAGAGAUUACUAAUGCACAGCCAUCAAGCCUUCUUAAAGUGAAAAACAGUUGUUUAAAAACUUUCUUUUUUAAAUUUGACAAAGCUCAUUUGAAUAUAAUGAUAUAAGAAUAAAAUUUUCAGGGAGGUUU